CUGAGGCGUGAUGACGAGGCACUACGGUGCUGAAGCAACAAAUGCCCUGCUUCCAGGAAAAGCCUCUAAGCAUCAGGUAACAUCAAAUCGUACCCCAAACCGACACAGGUGGUCAGGUAGAGAAUACCAAGGCGCUUGAGAGAACUCGGGUGAAGGAACUAGGCAAAAUGGUGCCGUAACUUCGGGAGAAGGCACGCUGACACGUAGGUGAAGUGAUUUACUCACGGAGCUGAAGUCAGUCGAAGAUACCAGCUGGCUGCAACUGUUUAUUAAAAACACAGCACUGUGCAAACACGAAAGUGGACGUAUACGGUGUGACGCCUGCCCGGUGCCGGAAGGUUAAUUGAUGGGGUCAGCGCAAGCGAAGCUCCUGAUCGAAGCCCCGGUAAACGGCGGCCGUAACUAUAACGGUCCUAAGGUAGCGAAAUUCCUUGUCGGGUAAGUUCCGACCUGCACGAAUGGCGUAAUGAUGGCCAGGCUGUCUCCACCCGAGACUCAGUGAAAUUGAACUCGCUGUGAAGAUGCAGUGUACCCGCGGCAAGACGGAAAGACCCCGUGAACCUUUACUAUAGCUUGACACUGAACAUUGAGCCUUGAUGUGUAGGAUAGGUGGGAGGCUUUGAAGUGUGGACGCCAGUCUGCAUGGAGCCGACCUUGAAAUACCACCCUUUAAUGUUUGAUGUUCUAACGUGGACCCGUAAUCCGGGUUGCGGACAGUGUCUGGUGGGUAGUUUGACUGGGGCGGUCUCCUCCUAAAGAGUAACGGAGGAGCACGAAGGUUGGCUAAUCCUGGUCGGACAUCAGGAGGUUAGUGCAAUGGCAUAAGCCAGCUUGACUGCGAGCGUGACGGCGCGAGCAGGUGCGAAAGCAGGUCAUAGUGAUCCGGUGGUUCUGAAUGGAAGGGCCAUCGCUCAACGGAUAAAAGGUACUCCGGGGAUAACAGGCUGAUACCGCCCAAGAGUUCAUAUCGACGGCGGUGUUUGGCACCUCGAUGUCGGCUCAUCACAUCCUGGGGCUGAAGUAGGUCCCAAGGGUAUGGCUGUUCGCCAUUUAAAGUGGUACGCGAGCUGGGUUUAGAACGUCGUGAGACAGUUCGGUCCCUAUCUGCCGUGGGCGCUGGAGAACUGAGGGGGGCUGCUCCUAGUACGAGAGGACCGGAGUGGACGCAUCACUGGUGUUCGGGUUGUCAUGCCAAUGGCACUGCCCGGUAGCUAAAUGCGGAAGAGAUAAGUGCUGAAAGCAUCUAAGCACGAAACUUGCCCCGAGAUGAGUUCUCCCUGAGACUUUAGGUCUCCUGAAGGAACGUUGAAGACGACGACGUUGAUAGGCCGGGUG
rnacentral:rRNA from 1 species